rnacentral:rRNA from 1 species
AGUGAACGCUGGCGGUAGGCCUAACACAUGCAAGUCGAACGGCAGCACAGUAAGAGCUUGCUCUUACGGGUGGCGAGUGGCGGACGGGUGAGGAAUACAUCGGAAUCUACUUUUUCGUGGGGGAUAACGUAGGGAAACUUACGCUAAUACCGCAUACGACCUACGGGUGAAAGCAGGGGAUCUUCGGACCUUGCGCGAUUGAAUGAGCCGAUGUCGGAUUAGCUAGUUGGCGGGGUAAAGGCCCACCAAGGCGACGAUCCGUAGCUGGUCUGAGAGGAUGAUCAGCCACACUGGAACUGAGACACGGUCCAGACUCCUACGGGAGGCAGCAGUGGGGAAUAUUGGACAAUGGGCGCAAGCCUCAUCCAGCCAUACCGCGUGGGUGAAGAAGGCCUUCGGGUUGUAAAGCCCUUUUGUUGGGAAAGAAAAGCAGCAGGUUAAUACCCCGCUGUUCUGACGGUACCCAAAGAAUAAGCACCGGCUAACUUCGUG